rnacentral:rRNA from 1 species
UACGGAGGGUGCGAGCGUUGUCCGGAAUCAUUGGGCGUAAAGGGCGCGUAGGUGGCGGGACAAGCGUGCGGUGAAAGCCCGGGGCUCAACCCCGGGAGGCGGGUGGAUACUGUCAAGCUCGAGUCCGGAAGAGGCGAGUGGAAUUCCUGGUGUAGCGGUGAAAUGCGCAGAUAUCAGGAGGAACACCAAUGGCGAAGGCAGCUCGCUGGGACGUGACUGACGCUGAGACGCGAAAGCGUGGGGAGCAAACAGG